CCCACCCCCGGGCUGGCUUACUCUGUGGAGGAGACACCACCCGUCCUGGCUUCACUUUCUCCCCACACUGAUGCUGAGAGCAGCGGCCUCCACGUGCUCUGCCCUUUGCUUUCACUAGGUCUGCCCGGAGUUGGAUGACUCGAGAAAAGGAUGUUUAGGAGACUGGAGCCCAGGAGCCUUGGGGACCACAGUCUGCACUCUGCCCUCCCAGAAGACACAGACGUGGCCUGUAGCAGCCGGGUGGGAGACCUGGCAUUUCCCCAACAGACCCUGACACCCUUUGGCACAGGCCCGCGGUUCUCAGAGCCCAGUCCCCAGACCUGCAGCAUCAGGUUUUAUUUCCUGCCAGACCUUCCAGACCAGAACGUCAGCUUCACCACCCCCAGACCCUCUGAGUAAGAAUCUGCGUGUUUCCACAUCCCUGGGCGUCUUGGGGUCCAGGAAAGUCUGAGAAGCUCUGCUCCAAGUUCCUGGAGGCCUGCCCCAAAUGCCAGAGCAGGACUGAGCAUGCUGUGGGAGUCUUCCUGGGGUCAAGGUCUCAGCACACGGGGCUGCUAUAAGUGAGAGGGCUUCCUGCAGCCAGAAAGGACAGCAGGUGUGAAGGCUGUUGGCUGAGUGAGGCCCCAGAAGUCACUCUACCUGGACAGAGCACACUGAGAAUCUGGUCCAGACACCUCCUCAGGGCUCCUGUCCACGUGUGGGCAGGUGCCAAGCAGUGCUGUGGAUGCCUGCCAUCACUGCUGGGACACCUGAGGUCACUGUGACCAUGGGGUCUCCUCCUGCCUCCCUGCCCCUGUCCACCCAGAGAAAGUCCAGUUCCAUGGGUCCCUCCACUACACUUCAUAAAGCUCCUACUAUGCUCCAGGCCAGGGUCCCCACAGGGAGUGAGAAUUGGUCCUGCCCUCGAGGACUUGCAGACCUGCUGGGGACAGAUACACAAAGCAGGAAAUGACAAAGUAAUGCGGAAGCAGAGGGGCGAAGCUGGACUCAGGUGUUGCCAGCGCACGGAGAAGGACCAGCCAGGUGACAGGUCCCGUGUGGACAUCUGGCCAGCCUGGAGUUGGUGAGUCCAUAUACAAGGGUUAAUGUUUCUAUUUCUCUAAAUAGAUCUUUCUCCUUUCUUGGAAUUAUUAGGUUUUUAAAGUGCAUUUACAUACAGAAGAGAGCACUAAUCUUAAGGGUGCAGUUUAGUCUCGACAAGAAUAUACACUUGUGUCAUGGCCCCCACAUCAAUGCAUGGAACAUUUUGCCACCCCAGAAAUUCCCUCCAGAGAUGGCCACUGUUCUGCUUCCACCACCAGUGGUUGGUCUUGCAUAUUCUUGACUUUCAUAUGAACUGACGCACAUGGUGUGAGCAUGCUGUGUCCCAACACAAAGUCUGUGAGAGGCACCCAUGUUUGAAUUUACAUACCUUGUCCUUGCUGUGUAGGAUGCCAGCAUGUGGAUAAAAUACACUUUAUUCGGAGACUGGUGGACAUUUGGGUCAUUUCCAGUUUGGGACUACUAUUAAUAAAGCUGAUGGGCAGGUUUUUUUCAAUUUAUUUUUUUUAAUUUAUUGAAGUGAAAUUCACAUAACAUAAAACACAUUAUUUUUGUUUUGUUUAACAUCUUUAUUAGAGUAUAAUUGCUUUACAAUAGUGUGUUAGUUUCUGCUUUAUAACAAGGUGAAUCAGUUAUACAUAUACCUAUGUUCCAAUAUCUCUUCCCUCUUGCGUCUCCCUCCCACCCUCCCUAUCCCACCCCUCUAGGUGGUCACAAACCACCUAGCUGAUCUCCCUGUGCUAUGUGGCUACUUCCCACUAGCUAUCUAUUUUAGG